rnacentral:rRNA from 1 species
CACGUAGGGUGCGAGCGUUGUCCGGAAUUACUGGGCGUAAAGCGCGUGUAGGCGGCCCAGCAAGUCGGAUGUGAAAGCCCUGGGCUUAACCUAGGAAGUGCAUUCGAAACUGCUGGGCUUGAGUUCUGGAGAGGAAGGCGGAAUUCUCGGUGUAGAGGUGAAAUUCGUAGAUAUCGAGAGGAACACCGGUGGCGAAGGCGGCCUUCUGGACAGUGACUGACGCUGAGACGCGAAAGCGUGGGGAGCAAACAGG